rnacentral:misc_RNA from 1 species
UUGUUUUAAUUGAUUAAACAAUAGACUCAGACUGUUUUCAUAUGAAAAAAAGAGUUUGUAUAAUUCCUCCGGCGAAUACACACUCACAACAAGUUUUGAAUUUGUUGCCAGUGGUCUUGGAAAACGACCUUUUACAGCCAUCACCAGAACGAAUCGCCAAAGUUAAACUGAACAAGUUCACAAAGGGUGGGAGUCAAAUCCAGUAAAAACUGAGAUUCAUAAACUCGGUAAUGAUCCUUCCGCAGGUUCACCUACGGAAA